GUGCUUCUGGAGCGUGACGGUCAUGGCCGCCACGACAGUAAGUUUGAUCUGGUCUUGCCGCUGGGAGGCUGCGCGUCUGACGACGUUUGCGGCCACCCACCGCCACCACGCAUUUACAGAAACCGCACGCCGUUUGGCGUGUAGGUCUGGCGCAGUUUCCGCAACGGGCAACCGAUGCGGCGAUGUAGAUAGCAAGAAUUACCA
rnacentral:sRNA from 12 species